AACCAUGCCCUUCGGGGCUCCUUGGUGAUUCAUAAUAACUUAACGAAUCGCAUGGCCUUGCGCCGGCGAUGGUUCAUUCAAAUUUCUGCCCUAUCAACUUUCGAUGGUACAGUAGUGGUCUACCAUGGUUUUAACGGGUAACGGGGAAUUAGGGUUCUAUUCCGGAGAGGGAGCCUGAGAAACGGCUACCACAUCCAAGGAAGGCAGCAGGCGCGCAAAUUACCCAAUCCCAAUUCGGGGAGGUAGUGACAAUAAAUACUGAUACAGGGCUCUUUCGGGUCUUGUAAUUGGAAUGAGAACAAUUUAAAUCCCUUAACGAGGAACAAUUGGAGGGCAAGUCUGGUGCCAGCAGCCGCGGUAAUUCCAGCUCCAAUAGCGUAUAUUAAAGUUGUUGCAGUUAAAAAGCUCGUAGUUGAACCUUGGGCCUGACCGAUCUGUCCUCCUAAUCGAGCGCACGGAUUCGGUUGGGUCUUUCCUUCUGGGGAGCCCUAUGCCCUUCACUGGGCGUAGUGGGGAACCAGGACUUUUAC
rnacentral:rRNA from 1 species